rnacentral:rRNA from 1 species
UACAGAGGCCUCGAGCGUUAGGCGGAAUCACUGGGCUUAAAGCGUGUGUAGGCGGACUUCUAAGUGCCUUGUGAAAUCCCACGGCUCACCCGUGGAACUGCUGGGCAUACUGGGAGUCUUGAGCCACCUAGGGGCGAGCGGAACAAAUGGUGGAGCGGUGAAAUGCGUAGAGAUCCGGAAGAACACCGGUGGCGAAGGCGGCCUGCUGGGCUACUGCUGACACUGAGGCGCGACAGCGUGGGGAGCAAACAGG